GGACGAACGCUGGCGGCGUGCUUAACACAUGCAAGUGGAGCGACGAACCAGGGCUUGCCCUGGGGCAGAGCCGCGAACGGGUGAGUAACACGUGGGUAACGUGCCCCGAUGACUGGGACAACCCGGGGAAACCCGGGCUAAUACCGGAUAUCGCCCCCUCACGCGAGUGAGGUGUGUAAAGGAAGCUUCGGCCUCCGCAUCGGGAUCGGCCCGCGGCCCAUUAGCUUGUUGGUGAGGUAACGCUCACCAAGGCAGCGAUGGGUAGCUGGUCUGAGAGGACGAUCAGCCACGCUGGGACUGAGACACGGCCCAGACUCCGUACGGGAGGCAGCAGUGGGGAAUC
rnacentral:rRNA from 1 species